UACGUAGGGUGCGAGCGUUGUCCGGAAUUACUGGGCGUAAAGAGCUCGUAGGUGGUUUGUCGCGUUGUCCGUGAAAACUCACAACUCAAUUGUGGGCGUGCGGGCGAUACGGGCAGACUGGAGUACUGCAGGGGAGACUGGAAUUCCUGGUGUAGCAGUGAAAUGCGUAGAUAUCUGGAGGAACACCGGUGGCGAAGGCGGCAUCCUGGACCAAUUCUGACGCUGAGGAGCGAAAGCCAGGGGAGCAAACGGG
rnacentral:rRNA from 1 species